UACGAAGGUGGCAAGCGUUGUUCGGAUUUACUGGGCGUACAGGGAGCGUAGGCGGUUGGGUAAGCCCUCCGUGAAAUCUCCGGGCCUAACCCGGAAAGGGCGGAGGGGACUGCUCGGCUAGAGGAUGGGAGAGGAGCGCGGAAUUCCCGGUGUAGCGGUGAAAUGCGUAGAGAUCGGGAGGAAGGCCGGUGGCGAAGGCGGCGCUCUGGAACAUUUC
rnacentral:rRNA from 1 species